rnacentral:rRNA from 1 species
CGGUAACAGCUCAAAUUUGAAAUCUGACCUUCACGGGUCCGAGUUGUAAUUUGUAGAGGAAUUUUCGGAUAGGCUUUGGUUUAAGUUUCUUGGAACAGAACGUCAUAGAGGGUGAGAGUCCCGUCUAGAACCGAUAGCCGCGUCCAUGUGAAACUCCUUCGAC